CCUACGGGUUGCACCAGUGGGGAAUAUUGCACAAUGGGCGCAAGCCUGAUGCAGCCAUGCCGCGUGUAUGAAGAAGGCCUUCGGGUUGUAAAGUACUUUCGGCGGGGGGGAAGGCGAUAAGGUUAAUAACCUUGUCGAUUGACGUUACCCGCAGAAGAAACACCGGCUAACUCCGUGCCAGCAGCCGCGGUAAUACGGAGGGUGCAAGCGUUAAUCGGAAUUACUGGGCGUAAAGCGCACGCAGGCGGUCUGUCAAGUCGGAUGUGAAAUCCCCGGGCUCAACCUGGGAACUGCAUUCGAAACUGGCAGGCUAGAGUCUUGUAGAGGGGGGUAGAAUUCCAGGUGUAGCGGUGAAAUGCGUAGAGAUCUGGAGGAAUACCGGUGGCGAAGGCGGCCCCCUGGACAAAGACUGACGCUCAGGUGCGAAAGCGUGGGGAGCAAACAGGAUUAGAUACCCUCGUAGUC
rnacentral:rRNA from 1 species